GGCGGACGGGUGAGUAACGCGUAAGAACUUGCCCUUUAGACUGGGAUAACAGAGGGAAACUUCUGAUAGUACUGGAUAAGUUAGUAUAUCGCAUGAUAUGCAAAUGAAAGCUACGGCACUAAAGGAGAGCUUUGCGUCCUAUUAGCUAGUUGGUAAGGUAAGAGCUUACCAAGGCGAUGAUAGGUAGCCGGCCUGAGAGGGUGGACGGCCACAAGGGGACUGAGAUACGGCCCUUACUCCUACGGGAGGCAGCAGGU
rnacentral:rRNA from 1 species